rnacentral:snoRNA from 1 species
AAGACUAUACUUUCAGGGAUCAUUUCUAUAGUUUGU